GACCUUACUGCAGAGGCAAAGGGAGAAAAAGGAAAGGGCGAGGCUGAAGGCUAACUUGAGGCGCCAAGCUAACACCGUCCUGCAGCGCCUCCAGCAGCAACAAGAGAUCUGGACGUACCACUAAGGGAGGCUGAGGAACUACUGGCGGAGGUGAAGUCGGCGGGUGUGGGUGGGCGUCUGCUGUGCCGCCUGCUGGUGGGCGUGGGCGUGGCGUUGCCCAGCUGUGGCCGGCACGACGACGCAAUAGCUGUGUUGACUGAUGCUGUACAUAUAGCGCGAGCCAACGAGUACGAAGAGGAGGAGCACGUAGGGGUAGAGGCGCUGGGCAGGACGCUGGCUAAGAGAGGACAACAUGCCGAGGCUGUGUCAGUGUGGGAACGUCGCAUCCCAGCUACCAGGAACAGCCGCCAGAGGGCCUCACUCUUCCUCCUCAUCGCCAAGUCCUAUUUUGCCAUGCGGAAGGUGGAAACAGGGAGGUUCUACGGUACCAAGAGUGUUAAGGAGGCGGAUGAUGGAGAAGACACACGUACGGCCCUGUCAGCUCUUCUCACCCUAGUCGAAGCUGACGCUCGACAGGAUAACGCAGAAGGAGCCCUGAAGACCCUAGAGAAGUGCAGUCCUCACCUGGCCUCCGCCCCUCCACACCUGCUGGAGGAAUACAACAACCUCAGGAAGCAGCUCUGUAAGGAGGAGCCUUCUUCUUAGUGAGGAGGAGGAGCAGUAGGAAGAGUAGGGG